AGCGGCUUGCAAUCUUGGCUGCACACGCCCGUGGCUCCGAGCGGCCCCGGCCUGGGGUCAAACCAGGAAGGAGGAGGGGUGGACCUCAAGGCUGGGAGAUCCGACUUUAUUUAUGUUGCUUCAACUUGUCCUGAACGGUUAGACGAGGAGCGCUUGCGCGCACACACACCACGGGGAGUCCAAGCCCUCGCUGGCUCGACCCGCCGGCUCAGCGCCCUGCGCGCCCUUGGCCCGCCCGAAGGCCCUGGCGUCAGAGGGCUCGGCGGCGGCCUCCUCCGUGCGUGGUUGGGGAGGACUUGGCCCCAGAAGGGCCACCAGCUGAAUUUUCCCGGACUAGGUGGUCUUGAGCAACUCGGAAAGGUUGCUGAUGAAGACAGCUGUCUCUGUAUAAGGAGGCCUUGGCUGUGGGCCUGGCGAAAUGAUGGUCGGCCCAGUCAUUCAACAGAUGCCUGUGGAACACCUGCUACGCUCCAGAAUAUGGGCCUGAAUGAGACAGGCAACAUGGACCCUACAGUCUAGUCUGAGACGCAACCAAACAACAGGUUCGGACCAGCAGCUCAGUCCAAAUCGGCAGCCUCUUAUGGAGCAGGGAGUUCCUUUUCGUGAAAUCCACUUCAGCAAUAAAGAUUCCACACGUCGCCUUAGAGCUCUGUUCUUUCUCGUUGUCACAUCUGACCCUAACCUUCGACAGUUCUUGUUGGCAGCCCAUUUCACAAGUGGAAACAUUGACUGUGUCACUCAGACAGCUCUGAGGUCUGUCGGGUGCCACCCAGCAGGCUGGGGUCAGGCACAAGACAAGGGUCUGAGUCUCCUGUCUGUGAGCACAGUACAGUCCCCACCACCCAAGAUUGUCCCUGUCCCUGUCCCUUGCCCCAGACAUGGGGCAAGACUCAGCCCAGCUGGGACAGUUUCAGUUUGUUCCCGCUAAAUUUAAUAACAGAAGAGGACCGUCUUUUGGGAUGGCUGUAGAACACCCCUGCCGUGCAUAUUGAGCUUGGGUAAUCCGGAGUUUGUUCCUAAAGAUGUUUAUUUGGGGGGCGGUGGUGGUUGCUGAUGCUCGACUCCCUUCAAGCAUCACGGCAGAGGGAAGUGUGCACCGAGGCGGAGUAUCUUUUCUAAGUGUGUGGCUCUUAGUUCUGGAAUAGUCUCCACCCCACAGGUGCAUCUAAAAUGGCACACGUAUAUGUGGAUGUGAGGUUUCAAAGGCCAUGUGUCGCCUCCCUCUGCUUCAAGACAGUCUUCACCUACGUUGCUCAAGACAGAGAGGUCUUUUCCGUUCACCUUCCCUUUUCAAGAGUGUCGACGAAAGAGAGUCCCUAACAUCUGUGGGUCAGCCACUUUAACAUUUAACAACACUCACGGCCAGGAAAUUAAUCCUGACGUUUCGCCUAAAUUCUUGUUGUUGACUGUUUCCUCCAUUCCUGACUCAGUGGGGAGAGGGAACACAGCUGCUCACCGGUCUUCUCGGCCCCCACCUGUUCAUGGAGGAAGAACAACGCCCCGAUGCCACUCUUCAUCCCUUUCUUCAGGUUCAAGAGUAACAGCUCACUUGGGGGUUUUGCCUUUGUUCAGAGGACUUGUUUGCAAACGUAUUCUAAAUCUCUUCCAUAUUUCCCACAUCAUUCUUGAAUUGUGAUAGUUCAAAGCGAUCCUGAUUUAAGUGGCUCUGUUUUAUGCCAGACCAUGCGUGCUGUGUCUUUUUCUCCUCUCCCAUGCAAUCUUCUCCAUUAAAACCAGUCACACGAAAUAAGCACAGCCCUAUCUAA
rnacentral:lncRNA from 1 species